rnacentral:rRNA from 1 species
AUUGAACGCUGGCGGCAUGCCUAACACAUGCAAGUCGAACGGCAGCACGGCAGUAGCAAUACUGUGGGUGGCGAGUGGCGGACGGGUGAGGAAUACGUCGGAAUCUGCCCAGUCGUGGGGGAUAACUAGCCGAAAGGUUAGCUAAUACCGCAUACGACCGAGAGGUGAAAGCGGGGGACCGCAAGGCCUCGCGCGAUUGGAUGAGCCGACGUCGGAUUAGCUAGUUGGUGGGGUAAAGGCCCACCAAGGCGACGAUCCGUAGCCGGCCUGAGAGGGCGACCGGCCACACUGGGACUGAGACACGGCCCAGACUCCUACGGGAGGCAGCAGUGGGGAAUAUUGCACAAUGGGCGAAAGCCUGAUGCAGCGACGCCGCGUGAGGGAUGACGGCCUCGGUUGUACGUACUUCUACGCAGGAGAAGGACGAAGUAGACGGUACCGU